rnacentral:ncRNA from 2 species
CAAAGAUUAAGCCAUGCAUGUGACU